CGGCGGACGGGUGAGUAACGCGUGGGUAACCUGCCUCAUACAGGGGGAUAACAGUUGGGAAACGGCUGCUAAUACCGCAUAAGCGCACAGUACCGCAUGGUACGGUGUGAAAAACUCCGGUGGUAUGAGAUGGACCCGCGUCUGAUUAGGUAGUUGGUGGGGUAACGGCCUACCAAGCCGACGAUCAGUAGCCGACCUGAGAGGGUGACCGGCCACAUUGGGACUGAGACACGGCCCAA
rnacentral:rRNA from 1 species